CACAGCUUUGGUCCUGAUCUUACUAUUAGUUCUUAGCAAAAUUACACAUGCAAGCAUCCACAUCCCAGUGAAAAUGCCCUCUAGGUCAACCCGACCAAAAGGAGCAGGUAUCAAGCCCACAAACCUAAUGUAGCUCACAACACCUUGCUCAACCACACCCCCACGGGAGACAGCAGUGACAGAAAUUAAGCAAUAAACGAAAGUUUGACUUAGUUAUGCUAACAUUUAAGGGUUGGUAAAUUUCGUGCCAGCCACCGCGGUCAUACGAUUAACCCAAACUAAUACUUAACGGCAUAAAACGUGUUUAGGAUCACCUAACAAUAAAGUUAAACCAAAACCAAGCCGUAAAAAGCUACAGUUGAAAUAAAAACCCCAACGAAAGUGACUUUAAUAUAUCUGAAUACACUAUAGCUAGGACCCAAACUGGGAUUAGAUACCCCACUAUGCCUAGCCCUAAACUAAAACAUUUUAUUAACCAAAAUGUCUGCCAGAGUACUACCAGCAACAGCUAGAAACUUAAAGGACUUGACGGUACUUCACACCCCCCUAGAGGAACCUGUCCUAUAAACGACAAACCCCGAUUAACCUCACCACCCCUUGCUAACACAGCCUAUAUACCGCCAUCUCCAGCAAACCUUAAAAAGCACCGCAGUAAGCACAAUUACUACUCAUAAAUACGUUAGGUCAAGGUGUAGCCUACGAGGUGGAAAGAGAUGGGUUACAUUUUCUCACAAGAGAAAAUUCACAGAAAUCUCUGUGAAAUUUCAGAGAUCGAAGAAGGAUUUAGAAGUAAGCUAAGAACAGAGAGCUUAGCUGAACUAGGCCAUGAAGUACGUACACACCGCCCGUCACCCUCCUCAACCCAUCAACAAUUGAUAAACAUAAUGUUUACCCUACAUAAUACCUAAUCUAGAGGAGACAAGUCGUAACAAGGUAAGCAUACUGGAAAGUGCGCUUGGACAAC
rnacentral:ncRNA from 1 species